GGUUAUACCUCUUCCCGUCAUUUCGUUUCCAAUACCCGAAAUCAGGAACUCAAGAAAACCCCAUCACCAUGGAAUUUAACUAAAACCCUGAAUCCGUCCCCUAAACCCCAAAUCCACUACUUCUCUCCUCUUUAUCUAAUUGUAGCGCUUGUUUCAGCUCUAUCUGCAGGUCAAGCUCGCCAUAUUGUCACCCAUGUAUCUAUACAAUCUCACCCUGCAGCAGGCUACCGGCAUUCUCUGUGCCAUAAAUGGGAACUUCUCCGGCGGCAAGACGCAGGAGAUUGUCGUUGCUCGUGGUAAGGUCCUAGAUCUCCUCCGACCUGACGAGAACGGUAAGAUCCAAACUUUACUCUCUGUCGAAGUGUUUGGUGCCAUUAGAUCCCUAGCUCAGUUUCGCUUAACCGGGUCCCAAAAAGAUUACAUCGUUGUCGGUUCCGAUUCCGGUCGAAUCGUAAUACUAGAGUACAACAAGGAGAAAAACGUAUUCGACAAGGUACACCAAGAAACUUUUGGGAAGUCUGGCUGUCGCCGGAUUGUUCCGGGUCAGUACCUGGCUAUUGACCCGAAAGGGAGAGCUGUUAUGAUAGGUGCCUGUGAGAAACAGAAACUUGUGUAUGUUUUGAAUAGGGAUACUGCUGCAAGAUUAACGAUUUCGUCUCCGCUAGAGGCGCACAAAUCGCACACGAUAUGUUAUUCCAUUUGCGGGGUGGAUUGCGGUUUUGAGAACCCGAUUUUUGCUGCCAUUGAGCUUGAUUACUCGGAGGCAGAUCAGGAUUCCACCGGACAAGCAGCUAGUGAAGCCCAGAAGCAAUUGACUUUUUACGAGCUAGAUUUAGGGCUUAACCAUGUGUCUAGGAAAUGGUCUGAACAGGUUGAUAAUGGUGCCAACUUGCUUGUUACUGUUCCGGGAGGAGGGGAUGGGCCAAGUGGAGUACUGGUGUGUGCUGAGAAUUUUGUAAUUUAUAAAAAUUCUAAAGGUCCAGAUUUCCGAGCAGUGAUUCCUAGGCGGGCAGAUUUGCCUGCUGAACGGGGGGUUCUAAUAGUGUCAGCUGCAAUGCAUAAGCAGAAGUCCAUGUUCUUCUUUCUUUUGCAAACUGAAUAUGGAGACAUUUUUAAGGUUACUUUGGAACAUGACGGGGAUAGCGUUUCGGAGUUGAAGAUUAAAUAUUUUGAUACUAUUCCGGUUACAGCUUCCAUGUGUGUGUUGAAGUCUGGAUUUUUGUUUGCUGCAUCGGAGUUUGGAAAUCAUGCUUUGUAUCAGUUUCAGGCAAUAGGGGAGGAGCCUGACGUGGAGUCAUCUUCAGCCACUUUGAUGGAAACUGAUGAAGGUUUCCAGCCUGUGUUUUUCCAGCCUAGAGGACUCAAAAACCUUGUUAGGAUUGACCAGGUUGAGAGCCUGAUGCCAAUAAUGGACAUGAAAGUAAUAAAUCUCUUUGAGGAAGAAACACCUCAGAUAUUUUCACUUUGUGGACGAGGUCCUCGUUCCUCUUUAAGGAUAUUAAGGCCUGGGUUGGCCAUCAGUGAGAUGGCUGUGUCACAGCUUCCUGGUCUCCCAAGUGCAGUUUGGACUGUGAAAAAGAAUGUCAAUGAUGAGUUUGAUGCAUAUAUUGUGGUCUCUUUUACCAAUGCCACCCUUGUGCUUUCAAUUGGUGAAACGGUUGAAGAAGUCAGCGAUAGUGGGUUUCUUGAUACUACUCCCUCCCUUGCUGUUUCUUUAAUAGGUGAUGAUUCUCUAAUGCAAGUCCACCCUAAUGGUAUUCGGCAUAUUAGGGAAGAUGGGCGUAUUAAUGAGUGGAGAACCCCUGGAAAGAGGUCGAUUGUUAAGGUUGGUUCAAACAGACUCCAAGUAGUUAUUGCCCUUACAGGAGGGGAACUUAUAUAUUUUGAGGUGGAUAUGACUGGUCAGCUGAUGGAGGUGGAGAAACAUGAAAUGUCUGGAGAUGUGGCUUGCUUGGACAUUGCUCCAGUCCCUGAAGGAAGACAGAGGUCACGCUUCCUUGCAGUUGGUUCUUAUGACAACACCAUUCGUAUCUUAUCUUUGGAUCCUGAUGACUGUAUGCAGAUUCUCAGUGUUCAAAGUGUAUCUUCGCCUCCAGAAUCCCUCCUCUUUCUUGAAGUCCAGGCUUCAGUAGGUGGAGAAGAUGGUGCUGAUCACCCUGCUAGUCUUUUCCUUAAUGCUGGUUUACAGACUGGGGUUCUAUUUAGGACAGUUGUGGAUAUGGUGACUGGUCAACUUUCUGAUUCCCGUUCCCGGUUUUUAGGGCUGAGGCCUCCGAAGUUAUUCUCGGUCAUUGUGAGAGGACGACGUGCAAUGCUUUGCUUGUCCAGUCGACCCUGGCUUGGUUAUAUUCACCAGGGACAUUUCCAGUUAACACCUCUUUCUUAUGAGACUCUUGAAUUUGCUGCUUCAUUUUCAUCCGAUCAAUGUGCUGAAGGUGUUGUUGCUGUGGCUGGGGAUGCAUUGAGGAUUUUCACAAUUGAGCGUCUUGGGGAAACAUUUAACGAAACUGUGAUUCCUUUAAGGUACACGCCAAGAAAGUUUGUUCUCCACCCCAAGUGGAAGUUGUUAGUGAUUAUUGAGAGUGACCAAGGAGCAUUCAAUGCAGAAGAACGUGAAGCUGCAAGAAAGGAAUUCUUUGAAGCUGCUGGAAUGGGAGAAAAUGGCAAUGCUAAUGCUGAACAAAUGGAGAAUGGUGAUGAUGAAGACAAAGAUGAUCCCCUCUCGGAUGAGCAGUAUGGUUAUCCAAAGGCAGAAUCAGACAAGUGGGUUUCUUGUAUCCGAGUCCUUGAUCCAAGGAAAGCUACUACAACUUGUCUCCUAGAACUUCAGGACAAUGAAGCUGCAUUCAGUGUUUGUACUGUUAAUUUCCAUGAUAAGGAGUAUGGAACUCUUUUAGCAGUUGGUACAGCCAAGGGACUGCAGUUUUGGCCCAAAAGAAGUUUAGUAGCGGGGUUUAUUCAUAUUUAUAGGUUUCUGGAAGAUGGGAAAUCUCUUGAACUUCUGCACAAGACACAAGUGGAAGGUGUACCUCUUGCUUUAUCCCAAUUUCAGGGAAGAUUGCUAGCUGGAAUAGGUCCUGUACUUAGGUUAUACGACUUGGGGAAAAGGAGGUUGCUCAGAAAAUGUGAAAAUAAGCUGUUCCCUAACAAAAUUGUCUCGAUUCAUACUUAUCGUGACCGAAUUUAUGUUGGUGAUAUUCAGGAGUCAUUCCAUUUCUGCAAGUAUAGACGAGACGAAAAUCAACUGUACAUAUUUGCAGAUGAUUGUGUCCCAAGAUGGCUUACUGCAUCAUAUCACAUAGAUUUUGAUACGAUGGCGGGUGCGGACAAAUUUGGGAAUUUCUAUUUUGUUCGGUUGCCACAGGAUGUGUCAGAUGAGAUUGAGGAAGAUCCAACUGGUGGGAAGAUUAAGUGGGAGCAAGGGAAGCUCAAUGGAGCACCUAACAAGGUAGAAGAGAUAGUGCAGUUUCAUGUUGGUGAUGUGGUUACUUGUUUGCAGAAGGCAUCUUUGAUCCCAGGUGGGUCAGAAUGCAUCAUUUAUGGAACUGUCAUGGGGAGCUUGGGGGCAUUGCAUGCAUUCACCUCACGUGAUGAUGUUGACUUCUUUUCGCAUUUGGAGAUGCAUAUGAGGCAGGAACACCCACCUUUAUGUGGAAGAGAUCACAUGGCUUAUAGAUCUGCGUACUUUCCUGUCAAGGAUGUGAUAGAUGGCGAUCUAUGUGAGCAGUUCCCAACACUUCCUCUGGACUUGCAAAGAAAAAUUGCUGACGAGUUGGAUAGAACACCCGGAGAGAUAUUGAAGAAACUUGAAGAAGUUCGAAAUAAGAUAAUUUGAGAAAGAUGUUGUGCUGAGGUUAUCGGCAUUGGUUAGUGCUAAUUGCAGUUAGAGUGAAGCUGUUUAAGCAGAUAAUGCAGAGGCCUGAAAAAGCAUGGGUAAAUUACCAGAUGGACCUCUGACCACAGAAAAUUUAUGCUGGCGGAAGCUUCCUUUCUUUCCCUACAUCCUUGGUCAGGAUCCAAUGGAGUGUGCCGAGCUAAAUGCUGGCAGUCUAAUGUGAGAUUUCUGUUUCUCCUAUCUAUGUUCGGCUAAACCGGGAAUGCCCAUUACUCUCACGGAGCCUUAAAACAAAUGAACUAAUAAUUGAAGGUUCAAAUAGUUUUUCAGCCAGGUUUCUGCAGGAGCUGAUGCUACCCUUGAACCAGGCCAGCAAUGUGGAAGGAUGGUACUGUAAGUUCCAGUUCACAGCAUUAAUAUCGAUAAUGUCUGCAAACACGAUGUCAAUAUUGUUUGUCGGUUCGCCAAAUAGCAAACCAUGCCACAUUCCGGGGUACAGCUUGAAGGACUUAUCUGGACUCUUCGAUACCUCAUAGAGUUGCCUGCUGGCAGAUUUGUCAAUCACCUUGUCAUCUCCUCCAUGGAGAAGUAAGAAGGGGAUUACGACCUAAAAUAGAAAUUAGAAAAUUUUCUCAUUUCUGAUAAUGAAAUAUCAAAAUAGUGCUUAUUAUUACUUUCCAAAAAUUGGAAGUAAAAAAAAUAUGGCAGACCUCUUGAAGUCGGCCCUCAAUAUCUCCACUGAUUCUGAGGAAGUUCAUGGCCGGUUUUCAAGCGAGGGCGGCCUUUGUAGCAAUACUUGUUUGCUUUAAUCUGUCAACAAAAGAAUCAUAUGUUUACCCGUA